AACGAGCUAACUGGAAGUUAUUUAAAUAUAAAAUCUUAGCUAAAGAAGAAGACAUAACUUUAGUAAUAAUGCCGUCCAACACUUGGUGCCAGCAGACUCGGUAACACCAGAGGCGUGAGCGUUAAUCGUCUUAAAUGGGCGUAAAGGGUACGUAGGUUGUACUCAAUAAAUAAAAACUCUUUGAUAGUGGUAUAAGCCCUAUUGCAGUUUAUUUCUUUAUGUAAAGAGUACUAGAAUCUGAUCGGAGUAUACAGAAUACUUUAUGUAGCGGUUAAAUGCUUAGACAUACAGUAGAAAACUCAUAGCGUGAGGCAGUAUACUAUUAAAGAUUGACACUGAGGUACGAAGGCUAGGCAGAAAGAGGAUUGAGACCCUACUAUUUCCUACUGUAAACGAUGAAUGCCAAGUGUUAUUAAUUGUAAAUAGUGCUGAAGUGAAUUACGAUAAGCAUUCCGCCUUGUUAGUACGCUGCAAAAGUGAAAACAACCAAUUAGA
rnacentral:rRNA from 1 species